AUGGGCGGAAGCCUGAACCAGCCAAGUAGCGUGCAGGAGGACGGCCCUACGGGUUGUAAACUGCUUUUAUGCGGGGAUAAAGUGAGGGACGUGUCCCUUUUUGCAGGUACCGCAUGAAUAAGGACCGGCUAAUUCCGUGCCAGCAGCCGCGGUAAUACGGAAGGUCCGGGCGUUAUCCGGAUUUAUUGGGUUUAAAGGGAGCGUAGGCCGGGGAUUAAGUGUGUUGUGAAAUGUAGGCGCCCAACGUCUGACUUGCAGCGCAUACUGGUUCCCUUGAGUACGCGCAACGCCGGCGGAAUUCGUCGUGUAGCGGUGAAAUGCUUAGAUAUGACGAAGAACCCCGAUUGCGAAGGCAGCCGGCGGGAGCGCAACUGACGCUGAAGCUCGAAGGUGCGGGUAUCGAACAGGAUUAGAUACCCUGGUAGUCCGCACGGUAAACGAUGGAUGCCCGCUGUCGGCGCCUUGCGCCGGCGGCCAAGCGAAAGCGUUAAGCAUCCCACCUGGGGAGUACGCCGGCAACGGUGAAACUCAAAGGAAUUGACGGGGGCCCGCACAAGCGGAGGAACAUGUGGUUUAAUUCGAUGAUACGCGAGGAACCUUACCCGGGCUUGAAUUGCAGGAGAACGAGACAGAGAUGUUGAGGUCCUUCGGGACUCCUGCGAAGGUGCUGCAUGGUUGUCGUCAGCUCGUGCCGUGAGGUGUCGGCUUA
rnacentral:rRNA from 1 species